UAGGAUGUAGUGUAAUGGGAGCACAAAGAGUUUUGAAUUCUUUGGUGUAGGUUCAAGUCCUGUUGUCCUAG
rnacentral:tRNA from 1 species